rnacentral:rRNA from 1 species
AGAGUUUGAUCCUGGCUCAGGACGAACGCUGGCGGCGUGCUUAGCACAUGCAAGUCGAGCGGAAAGGCCCUUCGGGGUACUCGAGCGGCGAACGGGUGAGUAACACGUGAGCAACCUGCCCCUGGCUCUGGGAUAGCCUCCGGAAACGGGGAUUAAUACCGGAUAUGACCUGGGUUCUCCUGGACCUGGGUGGAAAGUUUUUUCGGCUGGGGCGGGGCUCGCGGCCUAUCAGCUUGUUGGGGGGGUGACGGCCCACCAAGGCGACGACGGGUAGCCGGCCUGAGAGGGCGACCGGCCACACUGGGACUGAGACACGGCCCAGACUCCUGCGGGAGGCAGCAGUGGGGAAUAUUGCGCAAUGGGCGGAAGCCUGACGCAGCGACGCCGCGUGGGGGAUGAAGGCCUUCGGGUUGUAAACCUCUUUCAGCAGGGACGAAGCGGGAGUGACGGUACCUGCAGAAGAAGCGCCGGCUAACUACGUGCCAGCAGCCGCGGUAAUACGUAGGGCGCGAGCGUUGUCCGGAUUUAUUGGGCGUAAAGAGCUCGUAGGCGGCCUGUCGCGUCUGCCGUGAAAUCCGGGGGCUUAACCCCUGGCGUGCGGUGGAUACGGGCUGGCUGGAGGCAGGCAGGGGAGAAUGGAAUUCCCGGUGUAGCGGUGAAAUGCGCAGAUAUCGGGAGGAACACCGGUGGCGAAGGCGGUUCUCUGGGCCUGUUCUGACGCUGAGGAGCGAAAGCGUGGGGAGCGAACAGGAUUAGAUACCCCCGUAGUCC